KCGAAGUGGAGCAGUUUGGUAGCUCGCAAGGCUCAUGACCUUGAGGUCGUGGGUUCAAUUCCCACCUUCGUA
rnacentral:tRNA from 1 species